GACGAACGCUGGCGGCGUGCUUAACACAUGCAAGUCGAACGGAAAGGCCCCUUUGGGGGUACUCGAGUGGCGAACGGGUGAGUAACACGUGAGUAACCUGCCCUUGACUUCGGGAUAACUUCAGGAAACUGGGGCUAAUACCGGAUAGGAAUCCUUGCUGCAUGGUGGGGGUUGGAAAGCUUCGGCGGUUUUGGAUGGACUCGCGGCUUAUCAGCUUGUUGGUGGGUAGUGGCUUACCAAGGCUUUGACGGGUAGCCGGCCUGAGAGGGCGACCGGCCACAUUGGGACUGAGAUACGGCCCAGACUCCUACGGGAGGCAGCAGUGGGGAAUAUUGCACAAUGGGCGGAAGCCUGAUGCAGCAACGCCGCGUGCGGGAUGACGGCCUUCGGGUUGGAAACCGCUUUCAGCAGGGGCGAAGCUUGUGGUGACGGUACCUGCAGAAGAAGCACCGGCUAACUACGUG
rnacentral:rRNA from 1 species